UACGUAGGGUGCAAGCGUUGUCCGGAAUUAUUGGGCGUAAAGAGCUCGUAGGCGGUCUGUCGCGUCGGCUGUGAAAUCUUGGGGCUCAACCCCAAGCCUGCAGUCGAUACGGGCAGACUAGAGUGUGGUAGGGGAGACUGGAAUUUCUGGUGUAGCGGUGAAAUGCGCAGAUAUCAGGAGGAACACCGGUGGCGAAGGCGGGUCUCUGGGCCGUAACUGACGCUGAGGAGCGAAAGCGUGGGGAGCGAACAGG
rnacentral:rRNA from 1 species